UCGCCUCAAACCGACGACGCUCCUCCUUUCGCUAGUCGUCGCCUCAAACCGACGGGGGAGGUAAGGGUGAAAUUUUGCUUGCUUUCACUAGACUGGCGGAGUUUAACAAACUGAGUUUUGGUGCUGAUAGGUGAAUGCUGUGAAGUUUAAUGAUUAUGCUACUGUAGUUGUAUCUUCUGGUUAUGAUAAAUCUUUGCGUGUCUGGGACUGCAAAUCUCACAGCACUGAACCAAUUCAGUAUGCAGAUCAGAUAAUAGUUUGGAGAUUGAAUCAGAAGUUAAAUUUCAGCCGAUGCCACUGUUCAAAAAGAAAUUAAUUCCCUUUCUUUUUUGUUUUUUUUUUUCUUUCUCUGUCAAUCAUUAAUGAUUAUUAUCCUCGAUGAAUCGCUGAUUCUAUUACUGGUAAUCAAAACAGAAAGCUAAGAUUGAAGAGGGUAACAAGAGUUCCAGCCAUAAGCAUGAAGCUUUCAGACAUUCCACCCGAUGAUUAUUCAUGGCGGAAAUAUGGACAUAAGCCCAUCAAAGGAUCCCCACACCCAAGGUUUUGAUUUAUCGAAAUGAAGGUGAAAGGUGCUUGAAAGAAACAUCUAUUAAUUCACUGAGGAUAAGCCUCAAGGCCCCAAGUACAGUGCAGGCAAAUGCUGAAUCAGAUGCAAAGGCAUCUGAAGGGAAGGAAAAUGUUUCUGGGAAAAAUCAAAGGGAAGUUCUGGUGGCAAAGCCGAAAGCAAAAAAGCAGCUUCUAUCUCAGGAAAUGAUGGUGCCACCCAAAGGGCUACUAGAACAUGCUCUAUUGUUGUUGAGGAAUCGGUGAGAAGCCUUGAUGAGAAGUUAGCACCUGCUCUCGAUGAGUGCAACGCUAAAGAUGAAUUAGUCACAAAGUUCACAAAAAUGGCGGAAGAAGCCAUUGCAGCUCACAAGAAAGCGGAGGCUAAAAUUAUGUGUUUGAAGGAAGAGUUAGAAGAAUGGAAGGCUAACUCACCUUACCAGUGCAUUGAAGGAUUGUAUGCAGAAAUGAAGGAAGAGCUGGCUAUUUAUGGACCUAUAUCAAAUGAUAUCUCCUCCAUAUCAAGCCAUGAAUCGAAGAAGGAGCAUCAAAGUGUUUCUACUGAAGCUUGGGCUUGUGCUUUGAUAUCUGAACUAGAGCAUUUCAAGAAUCAUAAGGACCAGAAGAGUAACUCUGAACAGAAAAUGAUUGGAGUUUCAGAGAUGAGGCUAAUGGAUGAUUUUGUCGAAAUGGAAAAACUAGCAAUAGUAGCAAAUAUCUUCAAACAUAUUGAUGAAUGAAUUCUCUUCAAGAA